UUUCCAUCAAUCCACUUGUUAAAUUUGUUAGAAUAUGAUCAUUAUUGUUGAUAUGUGCAGUAUACAAAUUAUAUUACCGGGUACACAAAAUUCGAUCCAAAUCUAGUUUAUGAUGCAAGUCCAGGCGUGAAAUUGAGAAGUGUGUGCAUAAAUGGGGAGACAGCAUCCUUAUCCGUUUUCGGCUGUAUCUAUAUGUGUCCUGAAAAAUGAAAAAUUUGUAUUUUAGUUAACUUUCAGAACCACUGACCACCUCAUUUUCAUAACUAUUUUCGAGUCAUAAAAUGAGGUCGGUUGUGGAUAGCUUUUCGUGCAACUUUAAUAGUGUGGAACUUUUUUCUGGGAUUUGUUUUGCCCUUUUGAAUUAAAAUAAGAUUUGGAGAACAAUUUUUAAUUAAAUACUGAAGGCACAAGGCUCUACAACUCUUGUGUUUUAAUGAAACAAUCCUUCGUAAAAAUACUUGAAUAUUCAUACGCGACGUUGACCAGACCACGUCCCGCCACAAAACAGAAGACACGCACACAACAGCGGUAAAAUGUUGUAAAAAUAAAUACAUAAUUGAAUGAGUGAAAGGUAGACAAUGCGUGAAAGAGGGGUUGAAAGCCUGUGGUAUUUGUUUCGUGUGCAAAUAAACUGAGAGAAUAAAAUCACUAAAUGAAACAAUAAGAGGAGACAGUGCCAGUCCUGAAU